GCAGCAAUGUAUGAGAUUAAAGUUCGAUCCAUCCCUGAUCACUAUUUUAAAGGCUUCUGGAGUGAAUGGAGUCCAAGUUAUUACUUCAGAACUCCAGAGAUCAAUAAUAGCUCAGGAUUAAGCCUAUCGUAUGGCCCAGUCUCCCCGAUCAUAAGAAGACUCUGGAACAUCUUUGUAAGAAACCAAGAAAAAAUUUAAAUGUGAGUUUCAAUCCUGAAAGUUUCCUGGACUGCCAGAUUCAUAGGGUGGAUGACAUUCAAGCUAGAGAUGAAGUGGAAGGUUUUCUGCAAGAUACGUUUCCUCAGCAACUAGAAGAAUCUGAGAAGCAGAGGCUUGGAGGGGAUGUGCAGAGCCCCAACUGCCCAUCUGAGGAUGUAGUCAUCACUCCAGAAAGCUUUGGAAGAGAUUCAUCCCUCACAUGCCUGGCUGGGAAUGUCAGUGCAUGUGACGCCCCUAUUCUCUCCUCUUCCAGGUCCCUAGACUGCAGGGAGAGUGGCAAGAAUGGGCCUCAUGUGUACCAGGACCUCCUGCUUAGCCUUGGGACUACAAACAGCACGCUGCCCCCUCCAUUUUCUCUCCAAUCUGGAAUCCUGACAUUGAACCCAGUUGCUCAGGGUCAGCCCAUUCUUACUUCCCUGGGAUCAAAUCAAGAAGAAGCAUAUGUCACCAUGUCCAGCUUCUACCAAAACCAGUGAAGUGUAAGAAACCCAGACUGAACUUACCGUGAGCGACAAAGAUGAUUUAAAAGGGAAGUCUAGAGUUCCUAGUCUCCCUCACAGCACAGAGAAGACAAAAUUAGCAAAACCCCACUACACAGUCUGCAAGAUUCUGAAACAUUGCUUUGACCACUCUUCCUGAGUUCAGUGGCACUCAACAUGAGUCAAGAGCAUCCUGCUUCUACCAUGUGGAUUUGGUCA
rnacentral:lncRNA from 1 species